rnacentral:rRNA from 1 species
AUUGAACGCUGGCGGCAGGCCUAACACAUGCAAGUCGAGCGGAUGAAGGGAGCUUGCUCCUGGAUUCAGCGGCGGACGGGUGAGUAAUGCCUAGGAAUCUGCCUGGUAGUGGGGGAUAACGUCCGGAAACGGGCGCUAAUACCGCAUACGUCCUGAGGGAGAAAGUGGGGGAUCUUCGGACCUCACGCUAUCAGAUGAGCCUAGGUCGGAUUAGCUAGUUGGUGGGGUAAAGGCCUACCAAGGCGACGAUCCGUAACUGGUCUGAGAGGAUGAUCAGUCACACUGGAACUGAGACACGGUCCAGACUCCUACGGGAGGCAGCAGUGGGGAAUAUUGGACGAUGGGCGAAAGCCUGAUCCAGCCAUGCCGCGUGUGUGAAGAAGGUCUUCGGAUUGUAAAGCACUUUAAGUUGGGAGGAAGGGCAGUAAGUUAAUACCUUGCUGUUUUGACGGUACCAACAGAAUAAGCACCGGCUAACCUCGUG